UACGUAGGGGGCUAGCGUUGUCCGGAAUCAUUGGGCGUAAAGCGCGCGUAGGCGGCCCGGUAAGUCCGCUGUGAAAGUCCAGGGCUCAACCCUGGAAAGCCGGUGGAUACUGCCGGGCUAGAGUCCGGGAGAGGCGAGUGGAAUUCCUGGUGUAGCGGUGGAAUGCGCAGAUAUCAGGAGGAACACCUAAGGCGAAGGCAGCUCGCUGGAACGGUACUGACGCUGAGGCGCGAAAGCGUGGGUAGCAAACAGG
rnacentral:rRNA from 1 species